GUAGUACUCCCUCCGUCCGAUUAUACUUGUCGGGGGAGUGGAUGUAUCUAGACGCAAUUUAGUUCUAGAUACAUCCAUUUUUUCGACAAGUAUUUCCGAACGGAGGGAGUAGUUA
rfam:Triticum aestivum genome assembly, contig: Triticum_aestivum_CS42_TGACv1_scaffold_030953_1BL